CAAGUCGAGCGGCAGCGCGGGGGCAACCCUGGCGGCNAGCGGCNAACGGGUGAGUAAUGCAUCGGAACGUGUCCCGUAGUGGGGGAUAACGCCGCGAAAGCGGCGCUAAUACCGCAUACGCUCUACGGAGGAAAGUGGGGGAUUCNCAAGGACCUCACGUUAUGGGGGCGGCCGAUGUCCGAUUAGCUAGUUGGUGGGGUAAUGGCUUACCAAGGCGACNAUCGGUAGCUGGUCUGAGAGGAUGAUCAGCCACACUGGGACUGAGACACGGCCCANACUCCUACGGGAGGCAGCAGUGGGGAAUUUUGGACAAUGGGGGCAACCCUGAUCCAGCCAUGCCGCGUGCGGGAAGAAGGCCUUCGGGUUGUAAACCGCUUUUAGCCGGGAAGAAAAGGCGCGAGUUAAUACCUCGUGUUUUUGACGGUACCGGCGGAAUAAGCACCGGCUAACUACGUGCCAGCAGCCGCGGUAAUACGUAGGGCGCGAGCGUUAAUCGGAAUUACUGGGCGUAAAGCGUGCGCAGGCGGUUCGUUGUGUCGGUGGUGAAAGCCCCGGGCUUAACCUGGGAAUGGCCAUGGAAACUGGCCAACUGGAGUGUGGCAAAGGGGGGUUGGAAUUCCGCGUUGUAGCAGUGAAAUGCUUAAAGAUGCGGAAGGAACACCC
rnacentral:rRNA from 1 species